CUCCACGGAAGUGCUAGCUCAUGUAGUCAGCUUCUAAUGGCGGAUCUGAUUUGAUCUCCUUCUUCAAUCACCUCAGAUCUCUUCGAUGUUAAAGAUAGAUCAGAGGAGAAUGCUAGAUGGUGAAGAAAAAUCAGAUGAAGACUCUCUUCUCUUUUGUUGUUUCCUCACCCAAAAAUCCUAGAACGAUUCUAGGUCUCUCAUCCGAGAAGACAUAGAUCUCCUCCUUUGCACAUGCCAAGAAGGUAGAAACCCACCCCAAACCUCACACCCCCAAGAAGG
rnacentral:lncRNA from 1 species